rnacentral:rRNA from 1 species
UACGGAGGGGGCAAGCGUUGUUCGGAAUUACUGGGCGUAAAGGGCGCGCAGGCGGCUGCUCAAGUCAGGCGUGAAAGGCCUGGGCUCAACCCGGGAAUUGCGCUUGAGACUGGGCGUGGCUUGAGUGCGGGAGGAGGAUGGUGGAAUUCCCAGUGUAGAGGUGAAAUUCGUAGAUAUUGGGAAGAACACCGGUGGCGAAGGCGGCCAUCUGGACCGCAACUGACGCUGAGGCGCGAAAGCGUGGGGAGCGAACGGG